GGCCUGGCGGGAGCGGAAGAUCCCGGCGGCGCCGGACAGGGAGCUGGCGACAGCUGUGCGGGCUCGGGGCGGGCCCGGUUGGCAGCGGGAAGGAGGGCGCGCGAGGGGGCGGUGGACCACGCUCUGCCGGAUUCUCCGGCCGCGCGGCCAUGAACCUGGAGCGGCUGCGGAAGCGUGUCCGGCAGUACCUGGACCAGCAACAGUAUCAAAGUGCUCUAUUUUGGGCAGAUAAAGUAGCUUCACUCUCUCAUGAGGAACCCCAGGACAUUUAUUGGUUGGCUCAGUGUCUUUACCUGACAGCGCAAUAUCACAGAGCAGCUCAUGCACUUCGGUCACGAAAACUGGACAAACUGUAUGAAGCAUGCCGCUACCUUGCAGCUAGAUGCCAUUAUGCUGCGAAAGAGCAUCAGCAGGCACUUGAUAUUCUUGACAUGGAGGAGCCAAUCAACAAAAGGUUAUUUGAGAAAUACUUGAAGGAUGAAAGUGGCUUGAAAGACCCCUCCAAUGACUGGGAAAUGUCACAGUCCUCCAUAAAGAGUUCUAUUUGUCUUUUACGAGGGAAAAUCUAUGAUGCUCUGGAUAACCGAGCCCUAGCUACCUAUAGCUACAAAGAAGCGUUGAAGCUGGAUGCCUACUGUUUUGAAGCAUUUGAUCUUUUAACAUCACACCACAUGUUGACAGCUCAAGAAGAGAAAGAACUUCUUGAGUCACUACCUCUUAGCAAGCUCUGUACUGAAGAACAGGAAUUGCUACGCUUUCUAUUUGAGAACAAAUUAAAAAAGUAUAAUAAACCCAGUGAAACUGUCCUCCCCGAGUCUGUAGAUGGUUUGCAGGAGAAUCUGGAUGUGGUAGUGUCUUUGGCUGAAAGACAUUAUUAUAACUGUGAUUUUAAAAUGUGCUACAAGCUUACUUCUGUAGUGAUGGAGAAAGAUCCUUUCCAUGCAAACUGUUUACCUGUACAUAUAGGGACACUUGUGGAGCUGAAUAAAGCAAAUGAACUUUUCUACCUUUCUCAUAAAUUGGUGGAUCUGUAUCCUAGUAAUCCUGUGUCUUGGUUUGCAGUGGGAUGCUAUUAUCUCAUGGUUGGUCAUAAAAAUGAACAUGCCAGAAGAUACCUCAGCAAAGCGACAACACUUGAGAAGACUUACGGGCCUGCGUGGGUAGCGUACGGACACUCAUUUGCAGUUGAGAGCGAGCAUGACCAGGCCAUGGCUGCUUACUUCACAGCCGCGCAGCUCAUGAAAGGGUGUCAUUUGCCAAUGCUCUACAUCGGAUUAGAAUAUGGAUUGACCAAUAACUCAAAGUUGGCUGAAAGAUUCUUUGGCCAAGCGCUAAGCAUUGCACCAGAAGACCCUUUUGUUAUGCACGAGGUUGGCGUAGUUGCAUUUCAGAAUGGCGAAUGGAAAACAGCUGAAAAGUGGUUUCUUGAUGCAUUGGAAAAAAUUAAAGCAAUUGGGAAUGAGGUGACGGUUGACAAAUGGGAGCCUUUGUUGAACAACUUGGGGCAUGUCUGCAGGAAGCUUAAAAAGUAUGCCGAGGCCUUGGAUUAUCACCGUCAGGCACUGGUGUUAAUUCCUCAGAACGCGUCUACCUAUUCUGCCAUAGGGUAUAUCCAUAGUCUGAUGGGCAACUUUGAAAAUGCUGUUGACUAUUUCCACACAGCCCUUGGUCUUAGGCGGGAUGAUACAUUUUCUGUUACAAUGCUUGGUCAUUGCAUUGAGAUGUACAUUGGUGAUUCUGAAGCUUACAUUGAAAGUCCACAACCACCAGACUUGUGAUCCGGAUGUCUGUUCUGCUGACUUUUCAAACAGUUGCUUAAAAUAACUGCCGUUUUACCCAGUGCAAAGGUUUUGGCCCAGUUCAAAGGUUAUACCAUCAGAGCUUUUGAUCAGCAUACCUAAACUGCCUGUACGGAGUUGAUUUGAGACCAAAAAAAAAAAAAAGAAACCGUGGAGCCAGGGUGGGCAACCUUAUCAUAGGUGUGUUUCUAAUAGGAUUCCUUUAGAUUUAUGAAAUAUUGACAACUGCUCCUUGCCCCCUUCAUGGGGUUUUAGAAAACUGCUUUGGAACUGCUUUUUGAGUCUUGGCUCAUUUAAAAGUCACAUUCCCAGUGUGUUCAUUGGUAGCGAGUAGUUUAAGGAUAAAGCACUAGAAUUAGGCCUGGACUUACCUCCAGUAUCUGACAGUGACUCCCUUCAUCUCUGUUUGUACUCGGAAGUUCUCGGGAGAAAGAUGCUAUGAAUGACAAAUACAGCCAAGGUAAUUAAAAAAUAG